rnacentral:rRNA from 1 species
CAAGUCGAACGCGAAAGUCCCGCAAGGGAUGAGUAGAGUGGCAAACGGGUGAGUAACACGUGGGUGACCUGCCUUCGAGUGGGGGAUAACGUCCCGAAAGGGACGCUAAUACCGCAUAACAUCCCGCCUUUUAACAGGUGGACAUCAAAGCUGGGGAUCGCAAGACCUAGCGCUUGAAGAGGGGCCCGCGCCUGAUUAGCUAGUUGGUGGGGUAAUGGCUCACCAAGGCAACGAUCAGUAUCCGGCCUGAGAGGGCGGACGGACACACUGGGACUGAGACACGGCCCAGACUCCUACGGGAGGCAGCAGUGGGGAAUUGUUCGCAAUGGGCGCAAGCCUGACGACGCAACGCCGCGUGGAGGAUGAAGAUCUUCGGGUCGUAAACUCCUUUCGAUCGAGACGAAUGGCCUCCGGAUGAAUACUCCGGAGGAGUGACGGUACCGAGAGAAGAAGCCCCGGCUAACUCCGUGCCAGCAGCCGCGGUAAUACGGGGGGGGCAAGCGUUGUUCGGAAUUACUGGGCGUAAAGGGCUCGUAGGUGGCCAACUAAGUCAGACGUGAAAUCCCUCGGCUUAACCGGGGAACUGCGUCUGAUACUGGAUGGCUUGAGUUUGGGAGAGGGACGCGGAAUUCCAGGUGUAGCGGUGAAAUGCGUAGAUAUCUGGAGGAACACCGGUGGCGAAGGCGGCGUCCUGGACCAACACUGACACUGAGGAGCGAAAGCCAGGGGAGCAAACGGGAUUAGAUACCCCGGUAGUCCUGGCCCUAAACGAUGAAUGCUUGGUGUGGCGGGUAUCGAUCCCUGCCGUGCCGAAGCUAACGCAUUAAGCAUUCCGCCUGGGGGAGUACGGUC